GAUGCUUUAUCCUUUGACAUUAAGAAUGCUGUUUGCAGAAGUAACAUUCCUUUGAACACUCAGCUUUCUGAAAUGGUGUCCCACCACAAGGACUGGAGAAGGACACAAAGCAAAUUUGAGCGAUUUUCUUAUUUGAGUUCAAAAUGGGCUGUAAAGCGGUGGAGACAACUCGCAACAUCAACAAUCCAUUUGGCCCAGGAACUGCUAAGGAAUGUACAGUGGAGUGGUGGUUCAAGAAGUCUGGCAAAGGAGAUGAGAGCCUUGAAGAUGAGGAGUGUAGUGGCUGACCACUGGAAAUUGACAACAACCAAUUAAGAGCGGUCAUCGAAGCUGAUCCUCUUACAAUGACACAAGAAGUUGCCAAAGAACUCAGUGUUGACCGUUCUUUGGUCAUUCAGCAUUUGAAGCAAAUUGGGAAGGUGAAAAAGCUUGGUAAGUGGGUGCCUCAUGAGCUGAGCGAAAAUUUUUAAAAAAUCAUUGUUUUGAAGUGCUGUCUUCUCUUAUUCUACGUGACAACAAUGAACCAUUUCUCUAUCAGAUAGUGAUGUGCAAGGAAAAGUGGAUUUUAUAUGACAAUUGGUGAUGACCAGCUCAGUGGUUGGACAAAGAAGAAACUCCAAAACACUUCCCAAAACCAAACUUGCACCAAAAAAAGGUCAUGGUCACCAUUUGGUGAUCUGCUGCUGGUGUGAUCCACUACAGCUUUCUGAACCCCAGCAAAUCAUUACAUCUGAAAAGUAUGCUCAGCAAAUUGAUGAGAUGUACUGAAAACUGCAAUGCCUGCAGCCAGCAUUGGUCAACAGAAAGAGCCCAACUCUUCACAACAACCCUCGACCACAUGUUGCACAACCAACACUUCAAAAGUUGAAUGAAUUGGGCUAUGAAGUUUUGACUCAUCUGUCAUUCACCUGACCUCCUGCCAACUGACUACCACAUCUUCAAUCAUCUCGAUAGCUUUUUGCAGGGAAAAAGCUACAAUCAGCAGGAUGCAGAAAAAUACUUUCCAAGAAUUCAUCAAAUCCCAAAGCACAGAUUUUUAUGUUACAGGAAUAAACAAACUUAUUUCUCAUUGGCAAAAAUGUGUUGAUUGUAAUGGUUCCUAUUUUGAUUAAUAAAGAUGUGUUUGAGCCU
rnacentral:lncRNA from 1 species